GACGAACGCUGGCGGCGUGCCUAAUACAUGCACGUAGGACGCACAGCCUAUACCGUAGCUUGCUACACCAUAGGCUGUGAGUUGCGAACGGGUGAGUAACGCGUAGGUAACCUGCCUAUUAGAGGGGGAUAACUAUUGGAAACGAUAGCUAAUACCGCAUAACAGUAUGUAACACAUGUUAGAUGCUUGAAAGAUGCAAUUGCAUCGCUAGUAGAUGGACCUGCGUUGUAUUAGCUAGUAGGUAGGGUAAUGGCCUACCUAGGCAACGAUACAUAGCCGACCUGAGAGGGUGAUCGGCCACACUGGGACUGAGACACGGCCCAGACUCCUACGGGAGGCAGCAGUAGGGAAUCUUCGGCAAUGGGGGGAACCCUGACCGAGCAACGCCGCGUGAGUGAAGAAGGUUUUCGGAUCGUAAAGCUCUGUUGUUAAGGAGGAACGAGUGUGAGAAUGGAAAGUUCAUACUGUGACGACUAACCA
rnacentral:rRNA from 1 species